UCUGCAAGAUAACAAUGAUAAACUCUCCUUGACUCCAAAGAACCCAAGAGACCCUCUCUUCACACGUUGAAUAAUUGCACAUCAGGGGUCUGAGUUCCAGGAAGGAGCAGUGUGAGAGCUCACUCCCUCCUUUCUGCCAAAGCUCUCCCAUCAGCCUAUGUCCUGGGGGAGGGCCUACAAAUACUUGCCUAGGUGGUGAGGAGACACAGACUGGUUGUCUGAUUGAGCUGGGAUGUUUCUCUGGACUUGGACACAUUUUUGGCUCCAUUGGCUUAGGCGUCUCUCCAGGACGUCACUCUUGUCUUCACCCUGAAUACCAGCUGUGUCAGCUCCAAGCCGGGGCCUCUGGGGAAUGGACACUGUCACUACCCUUGAAGCACUGCAACUGCUUUUUCCUCUGGAGACAGUAGGGCUUGCUGGUGACUUGGGGGCUGAACGUUUUCAUGCCCUUUGCAGGAAGGCUGGCAUUUCUGCUGUUUGACUGCAUCGUGGAGACUUUCAGGAGUAUGAACAGGUGCAGUCCCAUUCAAAUAGAGAGUGGGCUCGGUGAAAUCGUUUGCCUGGACUCUGUGCUGCUUUGCCACAUAUGCGACCUGGAUUCGCGUGCUGCUUCCACCACAUUUGAAGGAAGUUUUGUGCUGUGGUGUCUCACUUUCUCUCUGCCUCUCUGCU